rnacentral:rRNA from 1 species
GCACGUCUAAGUACUCGCCUUGUCUAUUAAAGUGAAACCGCGAAUGGNNNANNAAAUCAGUUAUGGUUCACUAGAUCGUACCUCAUCCUACUCGGAUAACUGUGGUAAUUCUAGAGCUAAUACAUGCAACUAGGCCCUGCCCGGCCGCCUUCACGGGUGGUCGGAAAGGGCGCCAUUAUCAGCCCAAAACCGACCGGGUUGCCCCUCGGGGCUCCCGUCCUUAUACCCUUUGACGACUCUGGAUAACCUUCUAGCGGAUCGCCGGUAAACUAGGUCGGCCGGGCGGUGACGUCCGCGUCCGAUCUACGGCGACUAGUCUUUCGAAUGUCUGCCUUAUCAACUGUCGACGGUAGGUUAGACGCCUACCGUGGUCGUAACGGGUGACGGGGAAUCAGGGUUCGAUUCCGGAGAGGGAGCCUGAGAAACGGCUACCACAUCCAAGGAAGGCAGCAGGCACGCAAAUUACCCAAUCCCUGCACGGGGAGGUAGUGACGAAAAAUAACGAUACGGGACUCUUAACGAGGCCUCGUAAUCGGAAUGAGUCCGCUCUAAAUCCUUUAACGAGGAUCUAUCGGAGGGCAAGUCUGGUGCCAGCAGCCGCGGUAAUUCCAGCUCCGAUAGCGUAUAUUAAAGUUGCUGCGGUUAAAAAGCUCGUAGUUGGAUUUGGGUUUUCGGGCCGGCGGGCCGCCGCCUUCGAGCGGCGCGUUUCCCGCCGCGCCCCCGGAACCGCACGGUCGCAGAGGCCCCCGCGGUGCUCUUGAGUGAGUGUCCGCGGUCUCGGGUCGCCGAACGUUUACUUUGAAAAAAUUAGAGUGCUCCAGGCAGGCCGGUAAAGCGUUUUUAAACCCGCGCCUGAAUAGUCACGCAUGGAAUAAUGAAAGAGGACUGGUGGUCCUAUUUUGUUGGUUUUCGGGAUUUUCCGCCGUCAUGAUUAAGAGGGACGGCCGGGGGCAUUCGUACCGCGGCGCGAGAGGUGAAAUUCUAGGACCGUCGCGAGACGAACCGUUGCGAAAGCAUUUGCCAAGAAUGUUUUCCUUAAUCAAGAACGAAAGUCAGAGGUUCGAAGGCGAUCAGAUACCGCCCUAGUUCUGACCGUAAACGAUGCCACCUGACGAUCCGCCAGGGUUACUACCAUGACUCGGCGGGCAGCCCCCGGGAAACCCAAGCCUUCGGGUUCCGGGGGAAGUAUGGUUGCAAAGCUGAAACUUAAAGGAAUUGACGGAAGGGCACCACCAGGAGUGGAGCCUGCGGCUUAAUUUGACUCAACACGGGGAACCUCACCCGGCCCGGACACCGCGAGGAUUGACAGAUUGAGAGCUC